AGGGAGCUUGCUCCCGGAUGUUAGCGGCGGACGGGUGAGUAACACGUGGGUAACCUGCCUGUAAGACUGGGAUAACUCCGGGAAACCGGAGCUAAUACCGGAUAGUUCCUUGAACCGCAUGGUUCAAGGAUGAAAGACGGUUUCGGCUGUCACUUACAGAUGGACCCGCGGCGCAUUAGCUAGUUGGUGGGGUAAUGGCUCACCAAGGCGACGAUGCGUAGCCGACCUGAGAGGGUGAUCGGCCACACUGGGACUGAGACACGGCCCAGACUCCUACGGGAGGCAGCAGUAGGGAAUCUUCCGCAAUGGACGAAAGUCUGACGGAGCAACGCCGCGUGAGUGAUGAAGGUUUUCGGAUCGUAAAGCUCUGUUGUUAGGGAAGAACAAGUGCGAGAGUAACUGCUCGCACCUUGACGGUACCUAACCAGAAAGCCACGGCUAACUACGUGCCAGCAGCCGCGGUAAUACGUAGGUGGCAAGCGUUGUCCGGAAUUAUUGGGCGUAAAGGGCUCGCAGGCGGUUUCUUAAGUCUGAUGUGAAAGCCCCCGGCUCAACCGGGGAGGGUCAUUGGAAACUGGGAAACUUGAGUGCAGAAGAGGAGAGUGGAAUUCCACGUGUAGCGGUGAAAUGCGUAGAGAUGUGGAGGAACACCAGUGGCGAAGGCGACUCUCUGGUCUGUAACUGACGCUGAGGAGCGAAAGCGUGGGGAGCGAACAGGAUUAGAUACCCUGGUAGUCCACGCCGUAAACGAUGAGUGCUAAGUGUUAGGGGGUUUCCGCCCCUUAGUGCUGCAGCUAACGCAUUAAGCACUCCGCCUGGGGAGUACGGUCGCAAGACUGAAACUCAAAGGAAUUGACGGGGGCCCGCACAAGCGGUGGAGCAUGUGGUUUAAUUCGAAGCAACGCGAAGAACCUUACCAGGUCUUGACAUCCUCUGACAACCCUAGAGAUAGGGCUUUCCCUUCGGGGACAGAGUGACAGGUGGUGCAUGGUUGUCGUCAGCUCGUGUCGUGAGAUGUUGGGUUAAGUCCCGCAACGAGCGCAACCCUUGAUCUUAGUUGCCAGCAUUCAGUUGGGCACUCUAAGGUGACUGCCGGUGACAAACCGGAGGAAGGUGGGGAUGACGUCAAAUCAUCAUGCCCCUUAUGACCUGGGCUACACACGUGCUACAAUGGACAGAACAAAGGGCUGCAAGACCGCAAGGUUUAGCCAAUCCCAUAAAUCUGUUCUCAGUUCGGAUCGCAGUCUGCAACUCGACUGCGUGAAGCUGGAAUCGCU
rnacentral:rRNA from 1 species